AUGAAACAGGUGAACAUGAAGAAGGAAUAUCAGAAGAAGCAGAUGAAUACAGGAGCAUCUCUGGCUCGCUCCAGUCUCACACUCAACGCCCACCAGAGCAAGUGUGUCCAGGGAGUGCUGAAAGAAGAGUAUGUACAGAGAGUUACCACCUGCAUUCACUUCACACGUACACCAAAGCACCAAAUGCCUGUGCUAGUAUGCACCAUUCAUACUGUAAAGUGAUAAGCAUGUAUUAGACAAGCUUUACAGAGGUCUGUUUAGGGCCAUGAGCAUCUCUUAUUCCUGUGUGAUCAGGUCAUAUUAUAACCACAACCAAAAGAAAAAUAGAAAUGACAAUUGAAAUAGUUUUUUUUAGAACCAUGACAGUGUUUAAAAGACUGCAAAAACAGAAUUGUCUGUAGCUAAUCUGUUACUGUUACACAGCAGACUCAUUCCUUUUACUGUUAUGCCAAAAAAUCCCAGUUACUGUUACACAGAAGUCAUUCAUGUUACUUUUACACAAAAAAGAAUCCCUGUUACUGUUAUACAAAAACACAUCCCUGUUAGUGUUACUCAAAAGUCUCAUCCAUUACGGUUAUGGACAAAAAAAAUCAGUUACUUUUACACAAUAGACUCAUUCCUGUUAGUUCCAUAAAAAAACAAAAACAAAUCCCUGUUACACAGAAGACUCAUUCCUGUUUCUGUUACACAAAAACGUAUCACUGUUAGUGUUACUCAAAAGUCUCAUCCAUUACUGUUAUGCAAAAAAAAAAUCCCUGUUACUUUUACACAUGAGACUCAUUCCUGUUAGUUCCAUAAAAAACAAAUCCCUGUUGCUGUUACACAAUAGACUCAUUCCUGUUACUGUUAGCAAAAACACAACCCUGUUAGUGUUACCCAAAAGUCUCAUCCAUUAUUAUUAUGCAAAAAAAAAAAAUCCCUGUUACUUUUACACCAUAGACUCAUUCCUGUUAGUUCCAUAAAAAACAAAUCCCUGUUGCUGUUACACAAUAGACUCAUUCCUGUUACUGUUAGCAAAAACACAACCCUGUUAGUGUUACCCAAAAGUCUCAUCCAUUAUUAUUAUGCAAAAAAAAAAAAUCCCUGUUACUUUUACACCAUAGACUCAUUCCUGUUAGUUCCAUAAAAAACAAAUCCCUGUUGCUGUUACACAGUAGACUCAUUCCUGUUACAGUUAGCAAAAACGCAUCCCUGUUAGUGUUACCCAAAAGUCUCAUCCAUUACUGUUAUGCAAAAAAAAUAUUUUUACACAGUAGACUCAUCCCUGUUAGUUCCAUAAAAAAACUGUUACACAGACUCAUUCCUGUUAGUUAGCCAAAACACAUCCCUGUUAGUGUUACCCAAAAGUCUCAUCCAUUACUGUUGUGCAAAAAAAAAAAAAAUCAGUUCCUGCCACAAAAAACAAGUUAUCAUAAUGCACAAAAAACUAAAACCUGAUACUGUAAUGCUUAAAAAAAAUUAUACACAUUUACAUGUUGUUAUUUGUAUAUUUUUAAUUGUAUAGUCAAAUAAGAAUCAACUAAAAGUGUUCUUAUGGUAAUGAGAAUGAGAUAAUGAAGGUUCCUACUUUUUAUUAUUUAUUAUAUAUGUAUUUGACACUUGUGUUAGUCCACUGAUCCUGAACUGCUUGGUUCUGUCCUGCAGGGGAGAGCACAUCGCUGGCAUGAUGAAGCAGAUCAAGGACAUUAAGAACCAUUUCAGUUUCUGACCAUAAGUUAUUAACAGUCUUCAAAGGCUACAGAAGAAACUACAGAAGAGCCAAAUAGCAUCUCCAUAGAGCUCCUUUAAAGGACAGUACUUGACCCAAACCUCUCACAUUCAGAGUUUCUUGAAGAAAGAAACAGCUGGGAUUUUUGUAUAAACUAGUUUGUCUAUAAUUAGUAUGUACAUGUACACAUUUCCUUGACAAUAAAGAGUUUUGUACAUUGGAGUGACUCUUUCCUCUGUAUGUUGCUGUGAGUUUAUCAGCUGGGAGGCAGUAGUGUUGGGCAUUGGCGUUAUUUCCUGAACUGAGACUAUGGCUUAUCUGAAGAGGUCAUGCUGGAUAUGAAGACUUCUCCCUCUUUUCCUUCCUUCUUUUAAUCACAAGGUGGAAUGUGACGAUGGAAAAGAUCAUGUAAAGAACAAGGAGCUUGUACAUUUACUGUAGUGGAGGAAAGGAAUGUCCCAGAUUCAGUACACACUGACCACAUUGACUUACUACCAAAGUUCAGUUAGUCUGUUCACUCAGUCAGUGUUUCAAUUUUGACUGUCCAAAAUUUCCUCAAUUUUGGACUGUCAAUUUUCACUUUAUUUCUCAUUAUGAUCUCACAAUUUUAACUUCU
rnacentral:lncRNA from 1 species